ensembl:lncRNA
CAAAGAGUCAGACAUGACUGAGCCACUGAGCACUGCAGACCUCAAUGCCCAGCACUGGGCCAUGGAGAAGGGAGGAAGAGAGGAGGGGAAAGGUCGAAAGGAUGGUACAAAGGACCUGCUGGCACUCCUAGAGUCUCCAGGGGCCGGAGGAUCCAGGAUAGCCCCUCCCUGGGGCUUCAGCUGGCAGAUGAAGCCUAGAGGUGUCCACUCUUGCCAGCAGGACCCACCAGCCACAGCGGCCAACAUUUCCUCUCCAGAAAGCUGGUUCUGCCACGUGGGACUCUGACCUGAGUACAGGGUGGGGAAGGCAGUCUGCUCAGGAAAGAGCACGGGGAUCAGAGCCAGCUCCCCAUCACGAUGGCAGGAGGCGGAAGGGAGACGGAUCGCAGUCCUGGGCUGGACUGCCCCUGCCCAAUCUUGUCUGGCUGUUGUCUCUUCAAAGCAGCCAUGAUUUUCCCUCCGGAUCUUCAAACUGGUGGGCACUGUGGGGCUUGGUGCUAGAUGAUGGCUGGUAACAAGAACAGUACACUGCGGCACGGCUCGGGGCAAAACAUGGUAGGGUGUAAGACGCCCAGCGGACAGCUGCCACACCUGCGUGGUGCGUCUAGCAAUGACAGGCAGCGCCUGGAUAUACACAUUCCUGCUCUCCACCUGCAGAGUCCUGAGAUGUCACUUGCCAUUCCAUGAAAUACACUGAGCUCCUGCGGAUGCCAGGUCCUCUGCUGGGCCCUUCAACACACCUCCCUUCACCCCCACUACAGCUGUCACAUAAGGGUCAUGACUGACACCUCGCUGAGGACACUGGGACCGGGAGAGAUGAAAUGACUUCCUUCAGCUCACACUGCUCAACAGUAGAGAGUCCAACAUCAUUCGGCCUGGCUCUCAUCGUCCAUCCUCUCUGGAUGCAAAGCUCUGGAUUUCUGUGAUUACCUGAAGCUUUAUUAGUAAAAGAAUGGAAUUCAUUUGGUUUUGCCCUGGUGAAGAUUCUGAAAUUCUGUGUCUUUCAUUAGGAAAACUUGAGCUUAAGCUGCCCUUUGGUGACAGCAUUCACUCUGUAUGCGAACAGGCCUCCCUCCUUGCGUGACAUACCCUUCCAGCCCAGAGAAGAGCAGAAGAGGCAGGUGUGAUGGCCUCUGACCUUUGCCACGUUUCCAG